GUCUGCAGUCAUACCACCCUGAACAUGUUCAAUCUCAUCAUAUUUCAGAAGCCAAGCAGGGUGUGGUUAGAACUUGGAUGGGAGACAUCCUGAGUGUUGUAUGCUUGGGACC
rnacentral:rRNA from 1 species